UACGGAAGGCAGCAGUGGGGAUAUUGCACAAUGGGCGAAGCCUGAUGCAGCUAUGCCGCGUGUAUGAAGAAGGCCUUAGGGUUGUAAAGUACUUUCAUCGGGGAGGAAAAAACAAAACUAAUAAUUUUAUUUCUUGACGUUACCCGAAAAAGAAGCACCGGCUAACUCCGUGCCAGCAGCCGCGGUAAUACGGAGGGUGCUAGCGUUAAUCAGAAUUACUGGGCGUAAAAGAGCACGUAGGUGGUUUUUUUAAAGUCAGAUGUGAAAUCCCUGGGCUUAAACCUAGGAAACUGCAAUUUUGAAAACUGAAAAUACUAAGAGUAUCGUAGAGGGAGGUAGAAAUUCUAGGUGUAGCGGUGAAAAUGCGUAGAUAUCUGGAGGAAUAACCUGUGGCGAAAGCGGCUCCUAAAAGAAUAACUGACACUGAGGUGCGAAAAGCGUGGGGAAGCGAAAACAGGAUUAAGAUACC
rnacentral:rRNA from 1 species